rnacentral:misc_RNA from 1 species
UUAAAUAUUGCUGUGCAACAUACUCAGACAUGACAUACAACUGAAAGGUUUGGGUUUGCGAUUGGCUCCCGUCGGGGCUCUCCCAGAUCCAGCCUCGAUAGGGCCGGACAGGAGGGGAUCCGAAGACCCACGCCCAACGGAAGCUUACAAGGGACAGAUACGCAGGGUGGAGAUUGGAAUGAGGUUUCACAUCCAAACUUUUUUAAUGAUCCUUCCGCAGGUUCACCUACGGAAA